rfam:Gossypium raimondii Chr13_contig_1261, whole genome shotgun sequence.
UAUUAAAAAUUUCAUCAAUUUUUAUUGUUAAAAACUAUGUGGCUAAUAAAAUAACCAGACAAUGACACAUGGUGUGCCACAUGAACCUCAUGUUGACGUAUACGGACCAGUUUUUAAUAGUACAAUUUAAUGAACUUUUUAGGA